CCUGGGGGACCAGAAUCAAGUCACAGUGGCUCACCCUCCUCUCCUCAACACCAGAGGCCCUUUGAGAGUCUGGAAGAAGAUCAAUAGCCGGCCAGGGGUCUUCUCAGCCUGUGCCUACCAAGAUGAUCAGUGACUUCCUCCCAAACACCAGAGGCGGGGCCUGGAUCCGUCCUCCUCUCCCUGAGAAUAAUGACAACAGUGACUUCAAACUAGUGAGCCUCCCCGUGGACCAGGCACAGGAAAUGCCAUCUGCUCCCAUGACUUCAGUGACUAGUUUACGGUGAAGACUCCAAAUCCCUGUCUUUAGCCCAACCUCUCUUCUUGCCUCGAGACCAGUGGAUUCAGCUGCCUAAUUGAAAUCUCAACAUGGGUGAUGUUCUGCGAGCAUCUCAGAGCUAACGAGACUUGUCACCUCCCUCCCUCAAUGUUGCUGGCCCUUUGAAAUACGUCAAGAUCAUCUCUCCUGAAUUCCAGGGGCCACGGGGUUCAGGCUGGUCCAGGGGCAUCUUUUCUGGCUGCCUGGCACAAGCAGGCAGUUGGUUGUAAUCAUAUAAAAUCCUGGGAAAGCUGUCGAACCAGACUGCGCCUCAGUUUCCUCAUCUGUGAACUGAAGAUUCUAACGAUACUCCCCUCACUGAGAUGCCAUCUCCCGGGGUUCCAGGACUGCAGGCCUGGUACCAGAAGAUAAAAUCACCUUCAACAGAACAUCACUGUGAGAAUCAAAUUGCAGGAGACAACAUCUGCCCAACACUAAAAUGCGCCUGGCCGUUUAUGAAUCCUCAACAAACGCCAGUUCCCAUUUCCUCCUCUUCAUUUGACCCUGGGCUCCAGUUCGUUUGAGAGCCUGAUUUAACUCCGUAACCCCCAGCGAUGGCAGGGCUUGGCACUGUACCUGUCAUAGAAUGGGAUGUUUGUUGAAGAAAGCUUGUGCUCUGAAUGUGAAGAAACAGAGCCUUUUGGUCUGUGAGCAUCUGCACCCAGGUCCCUCCUCUCUGCCUGCCCCGCGCCCUGUCCUGGCCCCAGCCUGCUCUCCUGUCCAUCAGUGCUGCAGGGUGUGGGGUGCUUGCUGUAAGCAGAGGGAGGGGGUGGCUCUGGGCAUACCUCAA